rnacentral:misc_RNA from 1 species
AGACACAUACAGAGGCAGAUCCGCGGAUACAGGCACAUAUCUUUCCCCAGUUUACGCCCGCACGCACGGCCUGCGCACUGCUACGUCGCUUGCUGAGAAAGGAUGCGGGCAUGGACUCUGCUGCCUCUGGUGUGCACCUGUUGGCAGACGACGCCCUGCCGGAGGAGCUGCAGACUUUCAUGACAGAGCUGGGACGUCUUGAGGCGGUGUCGAAGGUACGUGCGCAGGAGCUGGCCCGCGCAAAGGCGGCAGAGCGGGAGCUGAGCGAGCAACUGGCGGCGGUCACCUACGUAGCGCAGAAGGCGCGAUACGCAAGGUUGCAGUUGGAACUAGACGCAGCGGCCACGCAGGUCAGGACAGAAGGGGCUAGGCGCGAGGCCGCCGAAGAUCGACGGCGGCUAAGCCACAUUACCGCUCAGCUGAAGGACGUUGAAGCACGCAGCAUAUCUCUUGACACACAGAAUGAAGAGGAACAGGAUGGAGGCCGACAAGACAUUCCGCGUGACGUCACAGCAGGCAAGACGGCAACAGCGAUGACAGGGAGCAUGACUACGUCGCCAAACGCCUUUGCAGGUGACUAUCAACUGUAUUGCUCUCUCAACUGCAUCCAUAGACAUCCGCGGCUGUCACACCUUCUUCUCGAACCUCUUGUUCGGCUACUCCGAGAACUGGGUGCGCAGUACACGGCAGCUCUCGACGAGAAGCACCUAGCUGACCGGGUGGCGCCUUCGCUGCACUCGUUGUGGUCGUCAGAUGCCUUUCAGGUGUGGUUGCGCGAGCGCGCCUGCGGUGCGCUGACGGAUGAGGAUAUGCGUUCUCUUUUAUUCAUCGCGAACGUAGCAGAUGGCCACGUCGCCGGCUGAUGGACACGCAGGGUUCUUUUCAGCCUAAACCAGCGUGGCUCAGCACGCGCUUCGCACCUCCUCCCUAGCGAAGGACAGAGGCGACACCAGAGGAGGGACCGCCCGCUUCCGCUGCUGCACUGCGAUACUCAGAGAACGAAGAACGUAACCCUACAAACCGGCCAGGAAGGCGAGACAUAGCUGAGAAACCCGCCGAGAGGUACACCAGACUUGCGCACUCGGGUUGUCGGAGGUCGUCGUGCAUGGGAACGUGUUUGCGUCCGAGCGAAGACGCGACGUCACUGCGAUGCAUACGCGUGAUCACUUCUGCCUUCGGUGUCGUCCUUGAUGGGAGGUGCGCCACUGCCGCCGCCUUCCCUCUCUCUCUCGCAUUCCUGUGGGACCCUUCUUCUUGCUUCGCACCGAACAACCGUGAAGAAACGGGGUGCGCACACACGCAAGGCUGCACGCGGUCACGAAUUUCUACGAAUCCUCUCCUGUCUCUCUCUCGCUCUGUGUGUGUAUCGCUCUUCGUGUAUGUGUGUGUGUGUGUGUUUGUGGGGUGCUCCGCUUGACUGGCCUCUCUUUCUUUCACUGCCUGCCUCCCCUACGCCUGUUUCACGUGCCCCCACCGAUGUGCGGGUGCGAAACACCGUCGUGCCGCUGCGUAUCCGUGAUCGUCUGCUGCAG